UACGUAGGGUGCAAGCGUUAAUCGGAAUUACUGGGCGUAAAGCGUGCGCAGGCGGUUGUGCAAGACAGAUGUGAAAUCCCCGGGCUUAACCUGGGAAUUGCAUUUGUGACUGCACGGCUAGAGUGUGUCAGAGGGGGGUAGAGUUCCACGUGUAGCAGUGAGAUGCGUAGAUAUGUGGAGGAAUACCGAUGGCGAAGGCAGCCCCCUGGGAUAACACUGACGCUCAUGCACGAAAGCGUGGGGAGCAAACAGG
rnacentral:rRNA from 1 species